UACGUAGGGUGCGAGCGUUGUCCGGAAUUAUUGGGCGUAAAGGGCUCGUAGGCGGUUUGUCGCGUCGGGAGUGAAAACGCCGGGCUUAACUCGGUGCUUGCUUUCGAUACGGGCAGACUAGAGGCAUGCAGGGGAGAACGGAACUCCUGGUGUAGCGGUGAAAUGCGCAGAUAUCAGGAGGAACACCGGUGGCGAAGGCGGUUCUCUGGGCAUGUCCUGACGCUGAGGAGCGAAAGUGUGGGGAGCGAACAGG
rnacentral:rRNA from 1 species